CCUACGGGAGGCAGCAGUGAGGAAUAUUGGUCAAUGGUCGGGAGACUGAACCAGCCAAGCCGCGUGAGGGAUGAAGGUACAGAGUAUCGUAAACCUCUUUUGUCAGGGAACAAAGGCGGGGACUAGUCCCCGGAUGAGGGUACCUGAAGAAAAAGCAUCGGCUAACUCCGUGCCAGCAGCCGCGGUAAUACGGAGAUUGCGAGCGUUAUCCGGAUUUAUUGGGUUUAAAGGGUGCGGAGGCGGUCUGUUAAGUCAGCGGUAAAAGCCCGGGGCUCAACCACGGCGCGCCGUUGAAACUGGCAGUCUGGAGUUGGAGAGAAGUAUGCGGAAUGCGCGGUGUAGCGGUGAAAUGCAUAGAUAUCGCGCAGAACCCCGAUUGCGAAGGCAGCAUGCCGGCUCCACACUGACGCUGAGGCACGAAAGCGUGGGUAUCGAACAGGAUUAGAUACCCUUGUAGUC
rnacentral:rRNA from 1 species